UGUGUCAACGGACAGACACGGGUUGCUAAGGAUGGUGACCAGGACAGUAGCGGGAUGCAACUUCAUCAGGAUGAUGAGCUAGGAAAUAGAGGGAAUAGGGACAAAAGAGUGGGCGGGUAAAACCGCCCCUUUUUUU
rfam:Pseudomonas taeanensis MS-3 contig_02, whole genome shotgun sequence.